CAAGGUGCAGUCGCAGCGUCCUUGGCGACCUAACUGACCCUCCGAAGGUACCCUGGGGGACGCGGAGGCCGGGAGAGGGCGGCACCUCUAGGCUGAGUCCUGUGCCCGGAGAGUCAGGGUCUCCUUCUUCCAGGCCACCGCGGGCGUGCCUGGGCGUCCUGAGGGGCAGUCGUGAUAUGGGCUUUGUUUGCAGAUUCCUCCUCUGGCCCUCGGGGGCUGCUCUCCUCCUCCCUUUGCAGGCCUGCUCUGCACUCAGCGUUCACCUAGACUCUGGAAGUUGACGCUCCAAGUCCACAGGAGGAAGCUGCAUCACAAGGCACCUGCAGUCACCCACGAGCUACUUUGCCACCACUGCUUAGGUGUGGUGCCUGCACACAUAGGGUGGCCUGGUUGAGUUGGUACUUUGGGAGUUUCUGUGAACAUCUGGCAACCUCCUCACUUGCAUUCAUAUCACAAGCCAGAAUAGCACCGUCAGUUGGGGGCGGAUCAGUGCUCAUUUCCAUGUUUCCAUCUCCUGAGUCUCAGUAACAUCUUCUUUACUGUCCUCAGUCUCUGAGCAAACAAGCAAUGACCCCCGCGCCAGGCCCUCCACAGCUUGAGGGACGGCAUCCAAACGUCACACUGUGGCUGAGUGACACUGUGUGGUCCAGCUUAUUUGUUUAUGAGAUUCAGGUGUGGGAGAUCUG
rnacentral:lncRNA from 1 species